rnacentral:lncRNA from 1 species
AUGAAUUAUAAUUGUGUUUUUAAAUCCAAUCCAUUUUCUUCCUUUGGUUUCAGAUCUUUUGUUCCACUUUUUUCAGACGGUACCUUUAGUGGAGCCUCUCAUUCACAGGGGAAGCACAGAGACGGAGCUUUAACCCUCCCCAGAACUAAAUCCAAAACCUUCAGCACCUCAGCUCUGCCUGUGAAACCCAGCAUCACCGUUUCUGCUGCUCACGAUCUGGAUUUCCCUUCAACUGUCUCUGCUGGCAGACUGAAGCUGAGUGAUUCUCCUCAGCCGUCGGCUUCUGAUCCCUCACCACUGGACUCCCCUCUGUCUUCAACGCUGCCAGUUCCAACACUUAGACUGAGUCCAUCUCCAACGUCCGGGUGCCAGGGCACCUACGUGGACGCCUCAGGAACCAGGCAGCCGUCCCCUAUUGCUAGAGAAAGACGUGCUAGGUCAAUUAGCAUCACACAUACUAAUAUCGAGCCCGUGUCCAGCAAAGAGAAAUCAGUACAUGAGAGAGAAAAUGAUGUUUUUGAACCUUUAAAGGAUGUCCCUCAUCCUGCCCUGAGAGGGGACUCUUCCAGGACAUACUCCCACAGACAAGCUGCUCUCGCCCCAAAUGCCUUUUUGCUGCAUCAAAAAGUUGAUUUGGCCAAAAAUGAAAGCAGCAAUUUGCAUAAAUCAAAAAUCCCGCCCGGGAAAACAGGCCUCCGUACGACCCUUCAACCAAACUGGGACUUAAAACAGCGGCUGGAACUCCUCCCAAAUGCAGCGACAAGUGUUCAAGCUUCAGAGCCUGAAGGGAUUCCACCGGGAAAGUCCCAGCUGGCGUUUGAUGCGCGGCCAAACCCUCGGGGAACGCACAGAACGGCUCAAACUGCAGGGUUUGGCUCAAAGGAACCAGUGCAGGAUCGCUUGUGCGCAGGAAGAGAUGCAGAUUUAGCAGCCCCCCCACUGGGCCCAGAUUCAACAGAACGCUUGUGGAGUCGGUCAACUGGACCAUCCCAACGGAGGCCGUUCAACUUUAACACUGCAGGAAACACACACGCCCCACUUCAAAGACCUGGGGAUGAAAACAGGACCGUAAUACCUGGAGCUGGACCCUCCUCAAGGCCCCCCCAACAACCCAGCGCAGCUCAAAACCAGACGUGUCCUCACACACACCGAUGGCGCCCCAGAAUAGAGAGUACAAGGAUCGAGGAUCGUUGCUUCCAGGCUGAACGGGACCCAUGUUCGGGUCAGACUGAGCAGCGUUUGCAGGGUCCUGACCAGCCGCACGGCGUUCUUCCUGCUACGUGCAGCACGUUACACACUAAAUGUUCCCAUGUUACACCAUGCAGCCAAAACAGGCACGCGGGGCCUAAUAAAAGCCGGGCGGCGUUGACCCUCAGUGACAUGGAGCUGAAUCAAAAAGCUGAGGGACCAGCUGAGCCGCCAGAAUGUUCAUGUGUCAAAAACUGGCCCCUCUCUGUGGAGCAGAGGUCGCACAUCCAGAAGGGUUCUGGCUACACAUCAAAUGGGGCCUUUGACUCUCCGCUCCAGCCACAGCAGGGAGUGGACCAGAGGGCAGCUGACACCGCGCCGACGGCCUCCUCCUUACCCAACCAGCCUCAGUACCGUCGCUCAGACAGGGGGAUUUUCCUGGAGGAGGACCCUUAUUAUGUCACCAUGUACCACCCUGGUUCAGUAUAUGUGGGUGAGUAG